CCCUUAGAUGUUCUGGGCCGCACGCGCGCUACAAUGAUGAAUUCAACGAGUUUAUAACCUUGGUUGAAAAGCCUGGGUAAUCUUUUGAACUUUCGUCGUGAUGGGGCUAGACCCUUGCAAUUAUUGGUCUCCAACGAGGAAUUCCUAGUAAACGCAAGUCAUCAGCUUGCAUUGAUUACGUCCCUGCCCUUUGUACACACCGCCCGUCGCACCUACCGAUUGAAUGGUCCGGUGAAAUCUUCGGAUUGAGACUUUGAUUUCUUCACGGAAAACGCUGUUUUAAAAAGUUGAUUAAACCUUACCAUUUAGAGGAAGGAAAAGUCGUAACA
rnacentral:rRNA from 1 species